rnacentral:rRNA from 1 species
AAUCAACGCUGGCGGCGUGCCUCAGACAUGCAAGUCGAACGAUUAAAGCUCCCUUCGGGGAGUGUAUAGAGUGGCGCACGGGUGAGUAACACGUAAGUAAUCUACCCUCGAGUGGGGAAUAACGUCCGGAAACGGACGCUAAUACCGCAUAAUGCAGCGGCACCGCAAGGUGACAGUUGUUAAAGAUUUAUCGCUUGAGGAGGAGCUUGCGGCAGAUUAGCUAGUUGGAAGGUAAUGGCUUACCAAGGCUACGAUCUGUAACCGGUCUAAGGGGACGGUCGGUCACACUGACACUGAAUAACGGGUCAGACUCCUACGGGAGGCAGCAGUCGGGAAUUUUGGCAAUGGGCGAAAGCCUGACCCAGCAACGCCGCGUGAAGGAUGAAGUAUUUCGGUAUGUAAACUUCGAAAGAAUGGGAAGAAUCAAUGACGGUACCAUUUAUAAGGUCCGGCUAACUACGUGCCAGCCGCCGCAGUAAC